GAUGAACGCUGGCGGCGUGCCUAAUACAUGCAAGUCGAGCGAACAGACGAGGAGCUUGCUCCUCUGACGUUGCGGCGGACGGGUGAGUAACACGUGGAUAACCUACCUAUAAGACUGGGAUAACUUCGGGAAACCGGAGCUAAUCCCGGAUAAUAUAUUGAACCGCAUGGUUCAAUAGUGAAAGACGGUUUUGCUGUCACUUAUAGAUGGAUCCGCGCCGCAUUAGCUAGUUGGUUAGGUAACGGCUUACCAAGGCGACGAUGCGUAGCCGACCUGAGAGGGUGAUCGGCCACACUGGAACUGAGACACGGUCCAGACUCCUACGGGAGGCAGCAGUAGGGAAUCUUCCGCAAUGGGCGAAAGCCUGACGGAGCAACGCCGCGUGAGUGAUGAAGGUCUUCGGAUCGUAAAACUCUGUUAUUAGGGAAGAACAAAUGCGUAAGUAACUAUGCACGUCUUGUCGGUACCUAAUCAGAAAGCCACGGCUAACUACGUG
rnacentral:rRNA from 1 species